CGCAGUCUGAUCGCUCCAAUUGGAGAACCGAUGCUUAAAAAAGAGGGAGCUAGACGCGGGUUCGGUGCGCAAGCCUUCCCAAGAGCAGCUUCACGUCAAGCUGUCACGGUUAGAGGGAAGCCUAAAGAACUCUCCGAGGCACCCACCUAGUGAAUUGGGUUCUCCCAGUUCUAGAGCCUUCAGGCUGCCU
rnacentral:other from 1 species